UGCUAUGAUGACACCGGCACUGGCUGAUCAGUGAUGAGCACUCGGUUGUCUGAGCU
rnacentral:snoRNA from 1 species